UACGUAGGGUGCGAGCGUUAAUCGGAAUUACUGGGCGUAAAGCGUGCGCAGGCGGUUAUAUAAGACAGUUGUGAAAUCCCCGGGCUCAACCUGGGAAUUGCAUCUGUGACUGUAUAGCUAGAGUACGGUAGAGGGGGAUGGAAUUCCGCGUGUAGCAGUGAAAUGCGUAGAUAUGCGGAGGAACACCGAUGGCGAAGGCAAUCCCCUGGACCAGUACUGACGCUCAUGCACGAAAGCGUGGGGAGCAAACAGG
rnacentral:rRNA from 1 species